UAGGGAAUCUUCCACAAUGGACGCAAGUCUGAUGGAGCAACGCCGCGUGAGUGAAGAAGGUCUUCGGAUCGUAAAGCUCUGUUGUUGGUGAAGAAGGAUAGAGGCAGUAACUGGUCUUUAUUUGACGGUAAUCAACCAGAAAGUCACGGCUAACUACGUGCCAGCAGCCGCGGUAAUACGUAGGUGGCAAGCGUUGUCCGGAUUUAUUGGGCGUAAAGCGAGCGCAGGCGGAAUGAUAAGUCUGAUGUGAAAGCCCACGGCUCAACCGUGGAACUGCAUCGGAAACUGUCAUUCUUGAGUGCAGAAGAGGAGAGUGGAACUCCAUGUGUAGCGGUGGAGUGCGUAGAUAUAUGGAAGAACACCAGUGGCGAAGGCGGCUCUCUGGUCUGCAACUGACGCUGAGGCUCGAAAGCAUGGGUAGCGAACAGGAUUAGAUACCCUGGUAGUCC
rnacentral:rRNA from 1 species